CCCGCUCACAGGGCACCCCUACCUUCACCAAGAUUUAGGGUGCGGAGAAAAGAUUUGCAAGUUCUUACAGAACUUUAAUGCAAAUCUAUCUCCGAAUGGGGGACUGUUACGGAAAGGGGGGGGGCAUGUCUUCUUCACCUUCUUCUUCGCUACAAUAUAUCAAUUUAUUUCCAAUUGUCAAUCCUUUCCUCCGGGCAAUGCCAGGUGGCAGACUAUGCAUACAUGGACCAUUGUCUUCUCAUCACCGGCACUCAGGAUGUGCUUAUCUGCGCAUAUCUCCAGCUCUGCAUAUUCCCCCCUCCCUCCUCCAUAUGUUAAUCCGGUGUAACCCAACCUCUCCUUAAUGUAUUCAUGAUGUAAUCUGUGUAACCCAACCUUUCCUUAAUGUAUUCAUGAUGUCACUGGGAUGUAUUUUGCACUGUAUUCUGGGACAUGGAGGGAGUUUCAAAAGUUCAUGUCACCCCUUUCUCGCUGUUCAAUCUUGCCUUGAACCUGUUGCGCAAUAAACUUGGAUCUUCUGCAAUUU